rnacentral:rRNA from 1 species
UACGGGGGGGGCAAGCGUUGUUCGGAAUUACUGGGCGUAAAGGGUUCGUAGGCGGCUUGUUAAGUCAGACGUGAAAUCCCUCGGCUCAACCGGGGAACUGCGUCUGAGACUGAUGAGCUCGAGUGCAGGAGAGGAACGCGGAAUUCCAGGUGUAGCGGUGAAAUGCGUAGAUAUCUGGAGGAACACCGGUGGCGAAGGCGGUUCUCUGGGCAUUACCUGACGCUGAGGAGCGAAAGUGUGGGGAGCGAACAGG